AAGAUGGAUGAUGAAUGAAAUCAGACGGAUUCCCAUUGAUAUUUUCUAAACAUGAUAUCAUUUACCAGCUACUCCUGACUCUU